rnacentral:rRNA from 1 species
AGUUUAUUAUUUAAGGUCUGGCCUGCCCAAUGAUUAAUUUUAAUGGCCGCAGUAUUUUGACUGUGCAAAGGUAGCAUAAUCAUUAGUUUCUUAAUUAGGAACUGGAAUGAAUGGUCGGAUGAGAAAAAAGCUGUCUCAGAUUAAUUUUAGAAGAAUUUUAUUUUUAAGUUAAAAAGCUUAAAUUUUGUUUAAAGACGAGAAGACCCUAUAGAGUUUUAUAGUAAUAAAUUUUUAAUUGUUAGGAAUUUUUUAAUUUUAAAUUAAGUUAUUAUUUUGUUGGGGUGAUGGAAAAAUUUAGUUAACUUUUUUUUUAAUUAUACACUAAUUUGUGGUUUUUUGAUCCAUAUAUUUAUGAUUAAUAGAUUAAAUUACCUUAGGGAUAACAGCGUAAUUUUUAUGGAGAGUUCUUAUCGAUAUAAAAGUUUGCGACCUCGAUGUUGGAUUAAAA